AUGUGAUUUUUUUUUUCCAAUUUUUUGUUCUGAAACUACCCACAUUCAAGUCAAUUCUUUUGACUCAUUUCAGCCGUUGUUGACCCGAAAGUAACUUGAUCCAACGACCCACGAUAUGUCGGAACAAUAUCUUGGAACCGCCUCUCAGAACGAUAGCUGGGUUGCAUGCUAACCUUAUAUUUUAUCUAUCCCCACGUAUUCUAAUACAAC
rnacentral:lncRNA from 1 species